GAUGAACGCUGGCGGCGUGCCUAAUACAUGCCAGUCGAGCGAACAGAUGAGGAGCUUGCUCCUCUGACGUUAGCGGCGGACGGGUGAGUAACACGUGGAUAACCUACCUAUAAGACUGGGAUAACUUCGGGAAACCAGAGCUAAUACCGGAUAAUAUAUUGAACCGCAUGGUUCAAUAGUGAAAGACGGUUUUGCUGUCACUUAUAGAUGGAUCCGCGCCGCAUUAGCUAGUUGGUAAGGUAACGGCUUACCAAGGCAACGAUGCGUAGCCGACCUGAGAGGGUGAUCGGCCACACUGGAACUGAGACACGGUCCAGACUCCUACGGGAGGCAGCAGUAGGGAAUCUUCCGCAAUGGGCGAAAGCCUGACGGAGCAACGCCGCGUGAGUGAUGAAGGUCUUCGGAUCGUAAAACUCUGUUAUUAGGGAAGAACAAAUGUGUAAGUAACUAUGCACGUCUUGACGGUACCUAAUCAGAAAGCCACGGCUAACUACGUG
rnacentral:rRNA from 1 species